rnacentral:lncRNA from 7 species
GGGUAUGCAUGAUUUAGCAGGCGACCCCUGACCUCUGCUGAGUAAGAAGCCUGCCUUAGAGGCAAAAUCAAGAGGGACAAAAAGCAGUGCUCACUCAUGAACAAUUAUUAUGCUUAACAGCAUGACUGUCAUUUUAGAGGGAAAGGGAAAAAACAGUAUGUCCUGAAUAAUGAAGGAUUAAAAUUCACCUGAGACUCGGCUCUGGCUGGGGCUGGCGCUCACCGCCAUCGCUCAGUGGGGCAGAAGUCAAAACCCUCCACAGCUUCAGGCAAUAUUCUUGCCCAUGGACCUGGGAACAGUAAAGCUCAUGUCUCCUGUGGACUGACCAAAAAAGGAGGCAGAUAUCAGCUGAGCUUCUAUUUGCUUAACUGUAUUUUGAUCACGUUCUUCAUAUAACUGUAACUUCUGUAGGAGCAUCAUGGCAUGGAGGAUCAUUAGCUUCCUCUCAAAAUACAAUCCCACCAGCACUGCUGUCUUUGGCAGAGGGCCUCCAAUUAGUGAUGAUCUGCACUGCUGAAACUUGAUGAGAAGUGGGUUUGCAAGACACUGCAGCUAUUGUUUCCCAGUGGUUGUCUACAGAUCCGUGUGAAUUCGCUGGGUGGCUAAGAGCACAGCAGGUAGCCUAGACUCUGACUCAACUCCCAGCAUCAAUAUUUGAACUAGUGCCUCCAUGGGAGAAUUAGAACCACGUGGAAAGCAUGAGUGCAAGAACUGCGAUCAGUGAAUCCUACCUCUCUUGCCUACUGGCACACAGGAUGCUGGGGGAGGUCACGGACAGGUUGAUGGGUUCUCAUGCUGGCGAGUGAUGCAUUAGGGCUGUAGCUUCCUGGCACCAUCUAGAGCCAAAAAGCUGAGCUAAUCCCAAAGCUAUUUCACAUUGCAUCUUUACUGGAGUUGGGAAAUGGCAACCAAAGGCUUGGUGUUGGUUCUCCCAGAUCUGCACAUCCAUAGUCUCAUUCAGUGUCAACAGCAUCCCUCUGUGUGCCAGCAUCCAUUCUGAACUUCUUGAUAUGAUGGACGUCUUGAUUGGUUUGACUUCUCAGGGUUUAUCUUCCUGGUUUUACUUGUGUUCCUGCUCAGCUGGGUUUGUUUGGAUACUGAUUUAUUUUCAGAUGUCUUGUUUCUAACCACAUUUCCUUUUUUUUUUUUUUUUUUUGUGAUGGUGUUUUCUCAAGGAUUGUCUUUCAAGUAACCAACAUCACUGCCUCCAUAUACACUCCAAUAAUAGCAGGUAUGGAUGAGCGUGGGUGUCCCACAUUAUACCAUUUUCUAGCAAAACUGGGCAUGUAAAAUGAUAUAUUUGUACACUGUACUGGAACACUGUAAGUGGCUCUGUGCAUUUGAAACCCAGUUCCUGGACUCAUUACAGCUGACAUAUGCAAACAUUUCAACUACAAAAUUUCAGUAAUUGAUCUCUAUAAAAUCCCAGGCUGCAGAUGAGUCUGCUAAGGAAGAAAUGCUGGUCUUUUUUUUUCCCUACUGCUUUUAGUAUUUGCUCGGUAUCAUUAAUAUAAAUACGCAAUCACUGAAAUCAACACAACUGAAGUUAACAGAGCAACUCCAGAUUUACAUCAGUGUAAAUGAGAGCAAAACUUGAUCCCUCACAUGUAAUUUAUCUUUAAUUCUGGUUUAAGUCUCUCUCAUCUUGCUGAAUAAAAACUGAUGUUCUUCUCACACACAAUCUGUAUACCAUUCAUUAGUGUCUUUUCUGUUUGGAAGAAAGAUUGGAGCCUGUGGUAAUGAAAGCUCAAAUCCUGGGGAGC